rnacentral:lncRNA from 1 species
AAGAAAACACAUACAGUCUUUGCAUGAUCAGAAGAAUGAAGAGCAAUGAGUUUCAAACAGAAGUGUGUGGAACUCAAUGAUGGCCACCUCAUGCCGGUACUGGGCUAUGGCACUUAUCAAAAUCCAGAGGUUCCUGCAAGUAAGAUUUUAGAGUCUACUAAAAUGGCAAUAGAUACUGGGUUCCACCAUAUUGAUUCUGCUUAUGUGUACAAAAAUGAAAAGGAAACAGGACAGGCUAUUUGAAGUAAGAUUGCUGAAGGUGUUUUGAAGAGAGAAGACAUAUUUCUCACUACAAAGCCUGAGGAACCAAGGGGACUCUGCAUUAGCAGCAAGGGUGGAAAACUGGAGACGAGUCAUUGCUUCUGCCUCGGUGGGAGGAGGAUCUUCUUCGUCUGAGUCCUGGAUAUCCAGCUGAUGGUAGUGGACUACAACUGGCUUACUUAAAGCAGCUUCAAUCUACACUGCUACCUGCUGAGAGGCCUCUGAGCUAUUCUGGAGACUACACCCUAUCCUGCACUUCAUCACCUGCAGCUGGUUCCGGGCUCCAAGAAUGGAUUUGCGGGAGAUGGGCCUCUCCCCCUUUAUAAGCACAGUUUUCUAUUAAACAUUCAAGCUUUGACCAGGAACCUUGACUUAGCUCCAUUUUUCUCUCGACCGCCUAUUUCCCCUCUCUUUUCAGCCCUACCCGGCUUGCCUCCCAGGUGAAACCCGGUCCAUGUGAGCCGCAGGCCGGCUCUCAACACAUUCUGAAUAUUUUCUUUCAGUAUGAGGGAAUGAUAAAUUUUAUCUAGUAGUUGAGGCAUCAACAUUGAGAUGUUACUUGUCCCCCAUCCCCACCUCACCCCCACC